UGAGGGAAGGGGCUGAGGGAAGGGAUUGAGAUCUGUGAGGGAAGGGGCUGAGGGAAGGGAUUGAGGUCUGUGAGGGAAGGGGCUGAGGGAAGGGAUUGAGAUCUAUGAGGGAAGGGGCUGAGGGACAGCAAUGGCGACAGCUGUGUGAGGGAAGGGGCUGAGGGACAGCAAUGGCGACAGCUGUGUGAGGGAAGGGGCUGAGGGACGGCAGAGGAACGUCGCCGCGCCGCGCCGCGCUGACCCGCGGGAAGAGGAAAGCCGCGGGCGCGGCCGCGCUGUCUUUCCGGUUCAGUUUUCACUUUCUGUUUUUUU
ensembl:lncRNA